GGAUUAGAUACCCUGGUAGUCCACGCCGUAAACGUUGUGCGCUUGGCCUGGGGGGAUUCAACCCCUUCCGGGUCGGAGCUAACGCGUUAAGCGCACCGCCUGGGGACUACGGCCGCAAGGCUAAAACUCAAAGGAAUUGACGGGGGCCCGCACAAGCGGUGGAGCAUGUGGCUUAAUUCGAGGCAACGCGAAGAACCUUACCCGGGUUUGACAUAUAAAUGCCGUCUCGUGAAAGCGAGAUUUCCUUCGGGACGUUUAUACAGGUGCUGCAUGGCUGUCGUCAGCUCGUGCUG
rnacentral:rRNA from 1 species